rnacentral:rRNA from 1 species
AAAUAGAUACCCGGUAGUCCACGCCGUAAACUAUGGAUACUAGGCGUUCGGAGUGUUAACCCUCUGAGUGCCGCAGUUCACGCAUUAAGUAUCCCGCCUGGGGAGUACGGUCGCAAGGCUAAAACUCAAAGGAAUUGACGGGGGCCCGCACAAGCGGUGGAGUAUGUGGUUUAAUUCGAAGCAACGCGCAGAACCUUACCUAGGCUUGACAUCCUGUGAUCGCUGCAGAAAUGUAGUUUUCUCUUCGGAGACACAGAGACAGGUGCUGCAUGGCUGUCGUCAGCUCGUGUUGUGAAAUGUUCGGUUAAGUCCGGCAACGAGCGCAACCCCUAUCUAUAGUUGCCAGCAUUAAGUUGGGGACUCUGUAGAGACUGCCAGUGUUAAACUGGAGGAAGGCGGGGAUGACGUCAAGUCCUCAUGGCCCUUACGCCUAGGGCUACACACGUACUACAAUGGCAAAGCAAAGCGAAGCGAAACCGCGAGGUGAAGCCAAUCGCAAAAACAUUGUCUCAGUCCGGA